rnacentral:rRNA from 1 species
UACGGGGGGGGCAAGCAUUGUUCGGAAUUACUGGGCGUAAAGGGCUCGUAGGCGGCCAACUAAGUCAGACGUGAAAUCCCUCGGCUUAACCGGGGAACUGCAUCUGAUACUGGAUGGCUUGAGUUCGGGAGAGGGAUGCGGAAUUCCAGGUGUAGCGGUGAAAUGCGUAGAUAUCUGGAGGAACACCGGUGGCGAAGGCGGCAUCCUGGACCGACACUGACGCUGAGGAGCGAAAGCCAGGGGAGCAAACGGG